GCAUCCCCGCGCCCGCCGCAUCCCCGCGCCCGCCGCAUCCCCGCGCCCGCCGCAUCCCCGCGGCCGGGACCGGGGAGCCGCAGCUGCGGCUGCUGCGCUUCCAAGGGUUAAAAGCCGUCGAGCCCCACGCGUAGGAGGGGUCGGGGCAGUGUGGAGAGAAAUGCAGAAAAACUGAACAUCUCAGCGAGAAUUACACACCUGUAGCUGCUGCUAGGCAUCUGUUGUCUCCACCUGAGGAGGGGCCGUGGCAAGGUUGCUCUUGAUAGAAGGUGGUUCACAUAAGGAUUGUACACCUACCGGUCAUAAGCAUGCAAUCCCAAGUUUUCCGAAAGAGUCUUUCUCAAGACAGAGUCACCAUGUUGCAAUGGGAAGAUUUUAUGAGCUGGUUGCAAAAACUCAUUCGUACUUUUUGGGUGGGAGGUGAAUUUUGAAACUGAAUUUUUACAAAGCUCAAAAGCUCUAGCAAGACUUCUGUAUAAUAUUCAGGUCUUCCUUGGGAAAUCCACUAUCUUCAAACAUUGCUUCUGUGUCAAGGCAUAAGCCUACGGACCUGCUCACUAAUGCAACAGGCACACCAGUAAUAUAACCUGUUUUUCUUUUGUGGCCACUUACAACUCCAGUGAGAGCAGAAUAUACACACGAAUCGGUCACGCAUUAAGUAACGUCACUGUCGUCUGUCGCGUGUUUGUUCGCUUAUCUGUUCCCCAAGGAGAGGAGUGUUUGUUUUGAGGUUUUACAUGCCUCUAAACAUUUAUUCCAGUAAUGUCAAGGUCAAAGAAAGGUGCUCUUCACUUGCAGUCGGAGCUGGUGUAAUCUGAGAUAAGGUCCCAGAGGAAUGGAAGCCUACUUCACAGUCACGGCUUGGCCAUCGAAAACAAAUGCAUUCUGCACAGACACACAUCACCCUCCUUCUGGAGGGCUAUCUCAUGUUAGAGGAACAUCUCUGUCAACCAUCAUGAUAUAACCCAGUUAUAUCAUAACUUCAUAUAGUCUGAAAUGAUCUGUCAUAUCAAUUCCUGCUAUCCCUGGCAUGGUAGCAAUAGAAGCAAACUCUGUUCUUUUCAAAACAAGUCCACAAGGACUAUAGUCAUGGCAUCCUCAGUAAUAUUUUAAUCAAAAUUAUUAGUAUUCUCUUACUUUUUUUGAGCAAAAAGUAAAAUUCAUCUUGUUUACUGUUUUGAUUUUGUUUGGUUUUUUUUAAUUAAGCUACAAAUUCACUAAAGGAAAUUAAUACUUCACAGAUUACAAAAGACCACAUGUGUUUGCUGUUA